rnacentral:rRNA from 1 species
AGUUAAAUGUUCUUCGUGAACAUAGCGAACUGCUCAGUAGCACGUGGAUAACCUACCCUUAGGACCGGAAUAACCCCGGGAAACUGGGGAUAAUACCGGAUAAGCCAUAGACGCUGGAAUGCCCUAUGGUUCAAAGCUCCGGCGCCUAAGGAUGGAUCUGCGGUCUAUCAGGUUGUAGUGGGUGUAACGUACCUACUAGCCGACGACGGAUACGGGUUGUGAGAGCAAGAGCCCGGAGAUGGAUUCUGAGACACGAAUCCAGGCCCUACGGGGUGCAGCAGGCGCGAACACUUUACAAUGCGGGAAACCGCGAUAAGGGAACCCCGAGUGCCAGCAUCAAAUGUUGGCUGUCCAGAUGAUUAAAAAUCAUUUGUUAGCAAGGGCCGGGCAAGACCGGUGCCAGCCGCCGCGGUAACACCGGCGGCCUGAGUGGUAGCCGUUUUUAUUGGGUCUAAAGGGUCCGUAGCCGGCCUGAUAAGUCCUUUGGGAAAUCUGGCAGCUUAACUGUCAGGCUUCUAAGGGAUACUGUCAGGCUUGGGACCGGAAGAGGUAAGGGGUACUCCAGGGGUAGGAGUGAAAUCUUGUAAUCCCUGGGGGACCAUCUGUGGCGAAGGCGCCUUACCAGAACGGGUCCGACGGUGAGGGACGAAAGCUAGGGGAGCAAACCGGAUUAGAUACCCGGGUAGUCCUAGCUGUAAACGAUGCUCGCU